rnacentral:rRNA from 1 species
AGACCCGAAACCCGGUGAUCUAGCCAUGGGCAGGUUGAAGGUUGGGUAACACUAACUGGAGGACCGAACCGACUAAUGUUGAAAAAUUAGCGGAUGACCUGUGGCUGGGGGUGAAAGGCCAAUCAAACCGGGAGAUAGCUGGUUCUCCCCGAAAGCUAUUUAGGUAGCGCCUCGUGAAUUCAUCUCCGGGGGUAGAGCACUGUUUCGGCUAGGGGGCCAUCCCGGCUUACCAACCCGAUGCAAACUGCGAAUACCGGAGAAUGUUAUCACGGGAGACACACGGCGGGUGCUAACGUCCGUCGUGAAGAGGGAAACAACCCAGACCGCCAGCUAAGGUCCCAAAGUCAUGGUUAAGUGGGAAACGAUGUGGGAAGGCCCAGACAGCCAGGAUGUUGGCUUAGAAGCAGCCAUCAUUUAAAGAAAGCGUAAUAGCUCACUGGUCGAGUCGGCCUGCGCGGAAGAUGUAACGGGGCUAAACCAUGCACCGAAGCUGCGGCAGCGAACGUAUCACUUAAAGCGAUUCAGCGGGUUACGAUUGACGGAGCGAAGCGACGUCAAAGCGUAUACAAAGUCGAGUCGGUUUAAGGAUACGUUCGUUGGGUAGGGGAGCGUUCUGUAAGCCUGUGAAGGUGGCCUGUGAGGGUUGCUGGAGGUAUCAGAAGUGCGAAUGCUGACAUAAGUAACGAUAAAGCGGGUGAAAAGCCCGCUCGCCGGAAGACCAAGGGUUCCUGUCCAACGUUAAUCGGGGCAGGGUGAGUCGACCCCUAAGGCGAGGCCGAAAGGCGUAGUCGAUGGGAAACGGGUUAAUAUUCCCGUACUUGGUGUUACUGCGAAGGGGGGACGGAGAAGGCUAUGUUGGCCGGGCGACGGUUGUCCCGGUUUAAGCGUGUAGGUGUGUGUUCCAGGUAAAUCCGGUUCACUUUAACACUGAGGCGUGAUGACGAGGCACUACGGUGCUGAAGCAACAAAUGCCCUGCUUCCAGGAAAAGCCUCUAAGCAUCAGGUAACAUCAAAUCGUACCCCAAACCGACACAGGUGGUCAGGUAGAGAAUACCAAGGCGCUUGAGAGAACUCGGGUGAAGGAACUAGGCAAAAUGGUGCCGUAACUUCGGGAGAAGGCACGCUGACACGUAGGUGAAGUGAUUUACUCAUGGAGCUGAAGUCAGUCGAAGAUACCAGCUGGCUGCAACUGUUUAUUAAAAACACAGCACUGUGCAAACACGAAAGUGGACGUAUACGGUGUGACGCCUGCCCGGUGCCGGAAGGUUAAUUGAUGGGGUCAGCGCAAGCGAAGCUCCUGAUCGAAGCCCCGGUAAACGGCGGCCGUAACUAUAACGGUCCUAAGGUAGCGAAAUUCCUUGUCGGGUAAGUUCCGACCUGCACGAAUGGCGUAAUGAUGGCCAGGCUGUCUCCACCCGAGACUCAGUGAAAUUGAACUCGCUGUGAAGAUGCAGUGUACCCGCGGCAAGACGGAAAGACCCCGUGAACCUUUACUAUAGCUUGACACUGAACAUUGAGCCUUGAUGUGUAGGAUAGGUGGGAGGCUUUGAAGCGUGGACGCCAGUCUGCGUGGAGCCGACCUUGAAAUACCACCCUUUAAUGUUUGAUGUUCUAACGUGGACCCGUAAUCCGGGUUGCGGACAGUGUCUGGUGGGUAGUUUGACUGGGGCGGUCUCCUCCUAAAGAGUAACGGAGGAGCACGAAGGUUGGCUAAUCCUGGUCGGACAUCAGGAGGUUAGUGCAAUGGCAUAAGCCAGCUUGACUGCGAGCGUGACGGCGCGAGCAGGUGCGAAAGCAGGUCAUAGUGAUCCGGUGGUUCUGAAUGGAAGGGCCAUCGCUCAACGGAUAAAAGGUACUCCGGGGAUAACAGGCUGAUACCGCCCAAGAGUUCAUAUCGACGGCGGUGUUUGGCACCUCGAUGUCGGCUCAUCACAUCCUGGGGCUGAAGUAGGUCCCAAGGGUAUGGCUGUUCGCCAUUUAAAGUGGUACGCGAGCUGGGUUUAGAACGUCGUGAGACAGUUCGGUCCCUAUCUGCCGUGGGCGCUGGAGAACUGAGGGGGGCUGCUCCUAGUACGAGAGGACCGGAGUGGACGCAUCACUGGUGUUCGGGUUGUCAUGCCAAUGGCACUGCCCGGUAGCUAAAUGCGGAAGAGAUAAGUGCUGAAAGCAUCUAAGCACGAAACUUGCCCCGAGAUGAGUUCUCCCUGAGACUUAGAGUCUCCUGAAGGAACGUUGAAGACGACGACGUUGAUAGGCCGGGUGUGUAAGCGCAGCGAUGCGUUGAGCUAACCGGUACUAAUGAACCGUGAGGCUUAACCUUACAACGCCGAAG